rnacentral:rRNA from 1 species
AUGCGAUACUUGGUGUGAAUUGCAGAAUUCCCCGUGUAAGUCGUCGUAUCUUUGAACGCACAUUGCGCCCAUUAAGUAUUCUAGUGGGCAUGCCUGUUCGAGCGUCAUUUCAACCCUUAAGCCCCUGUUGCUUAGCGUUGGGAAUCUAGGUCUCCAGGGCCUAGUUCCCCAAAGUCAUCGGCGGAGUCGGCUGCGUACUCUCAGCGUAGUAAUACCAUUCUCGCUUUUGCAGUAGCCCCGGCGGCUUGCCUUAAAACCCCUAUAUCUUUAGUGGUUGACCUCGAAAUCAGGUUUGGGUUAAUACCCGUUGAACUUAAGCAUAUCAAUAAGCGGAGGAA